AUUCAGCUGACAAGUCGUAAAUAGGACGAAACGCGCUUCCUGGAU
rfam:Schistosoma mansoni, Puerto Rico, WGS project CABG01000000 data, contig: 0083